UUAUUGGUAAUAAAUGUUUCAACAGUUGGCGAAAUGCACAAAUAGUUGUGUGGACAACAUGGCUGUUAGCUGUUUGAGUUCUGAUAUGUGGAAAAGUUGGGAACGGCAAGGGAAGACUGAAUUCAUCAAGGCAUGCAAGCAAUUUGUGAAAAGUGAUGAGAAUGUUAGCCCUGUUUUGACAAAGAAUGGAAAAAAUGCAGGACUCACAAGAGCAGUUUAUGAAUUAAUAUGGCAUGGUAUCAAAGGGCCAUUGAGGCGAGAAGCAACUGCAACCACUCUAGGUGAAAUUGUGAAUCUACACAGUGAUAUGCCAUCUAUAAUAUUGGAUGUUGUCAGUGUGAUUGAUGCAGAAACAUCAUGUGCAGAGAAUAAUGGCGAUGAGAGGCAAAGAUUUUGCUUCAUUGUGAAAGAAACUGAGAAGUUUCUGUCUGACAAGUUACUGAAGGAACGUUUGGAGAUUGAUACUCUCCAGGAUGUUGGUACAUUAAAGAAUAGAAAUUUUUACACUAAGUUUAUCAAAGUGAAGACAAAGCUAUAUUACAAACAACGCAAAUUUAACCUGUUCAGGGAGGAAAGUGAAGGUUAUGCCAAACUUAUUACGGAGUUAAAUCAGGAAGUGUCAGGAAAUGUGACACCUACUAAUAUUUUGGAAGUAAUUAAGUCAUUGAUAGGAUGUUUUAAUCUGGAUCCAAAUCGAGUUCUAGAUAUUAUCUUGGAAUCAUUUGAAUGCCGUCGUGAUCAUCACCAUUUCUUUAUUCCAUUGCUGCGUUCCUAUAUGUGUGAUCCAAAGAUUUUGUGUGAAGUGUUGGGUUUCAAAUACUGUUUCUACCAGAACAAUGCAGAAGAAACAACACCCAAGUCCCUGUACUUUGUAACUGCUCUUAUGCUACAGCAUAAUAUAAUUGCUCUUGAUGAUAUUUAUUCUUGGUUGACUCCUGAUGACAAAGUCAUUCACAAAGAAUGGGAGAAGGAUAUGAAAGAAGCUAAGGAAUAUGUCAGAAAACUCGGCAUUAUCUGUUUGAAGGACAAAGAUAAGGAGGAACCAGUAGAAGAGAAGGAGAAUGUACAGGAAAAGUAUGCAGCGAAUCAGAAGUUUGGUCUUUGUGAAGCAUUACUGAAGGUUGGAGAUUGGAAUCAUGCCAAGCAGCUUACAAAACGGUUGCCAGAACAUUGCGUAUUGGAUCAGCCACCUGUGGCACGUGCUUUAUGCGAGUUGCUGCAUUCAGUUAUGGAACCAGUGUAUAGAAAGAAUUGUGGCCUGGCAGAGAAGAUUGUGGGGCGUCCUGUACCUCUGCUUGACAGUCCACUGGCACCGCAGCCAGCACGUAGUUUUGUGGAGUUGAGGGAGUCUGUAAUACCAAUGCUACUAGCCCUAGGACCUUCCAUGCAUUAUGACCCAGUGCUUAUGUACAAGGUUAUUCGACUAGCAAAGGCUGCACUUACCCAGGGAUGUGGUGAAAACCAGCAGGCAAUCCCAGAGGGAGAAAAUAAUUUAUACUAUGAUAUUAUUACACUUUUGGAUGAAGUCAUACUUCCCUCCCUCUCAUACAUGGACUGUAACUGCUGUAUAGCUGAAGAGGUGUGGAACGUCAUCAAACUGUAUCCUUACCAGUGCAGGUACUGUUUGUACAGCCGUUGGAAGAACGAAACUUAUCAACAGCAUGCAAAAUUGUUGCGGAAACGAGGUGAAGCACUGAAGAAGAUCAAGUCUAUUAUGAAGAGAGUUAGCAAGGAGAAUAUUAAACCUGUUGGGAGGCUCAUAGGAAAACUAACACAUUGCUCACCCGGAUUCCUCUUUGACUAUGUUCUAGUUCAGAUCCAGAUCUAUGACAACCUCAUUAAUCCAGUCGUUGAUUCGUUAAAAUACCUGACAAGUUUGUCAUACGAUGUACUGGGCUACUGUCUCAUUGAGUCCUUAGCAUCGGCAGAUCGUGAUCGUUUCAAACACGAUGGAACAUCAAUCUCUUUGUGGCUACAAAGCCUUGCCUCUUUCUGUGGUGCCAUUUUCAAGAAGUACAACAUUGAACUUACAGGAUUGUUGCAAUAUGUUGCCAACCAACUGAAGGCACAGAAGAGUUUGGACCUUCUGAUUUUGAAGGAGAUUGUUCAGAAGAUGGCUGGCAUUGAAGCAGCAGAGGAAAUGACACCAGAACAGCUAGAAGCAAUGGCUGGUGGUGAACUGUUGAAAGGAGAGGCCGGAUACUUUAGCCAGGUGCGGAACACAAAAAAGUCAUCACAGAGAUUAAAAGAAGCACUGUCAGAGCAAAAUUUGGCUGUGGCUUUGUGUCUUCUCAUGGCCCAGCAGAGAUACUGUGUUGUGUACAAGGAAACAGACAAGAGUCAUUUAAAACUUGUUGGUAAACUGUAUGAUCAGUGCCAAGAUACAUUGGUUCAGUUUGGUACAUUCCUGGGUUCUACAUUGUCAAUGGAAGAAUAUGUGACAAAGUUGCCUACCAUCCACAGUAUGCUGGCAGACUAUCACAUCCAUGCUGAUGUUGCUUUUUUCUUGGCACGGCCCAUGUUCACACAUGCUAUUAAUCUGAAGUAUGAUGCAUUGCGCAAGGCUGAUCCAAACUGCAAGAAAUUAUCUCCUUCAGCAAAACACCAGAAGUACUGUGAGGCUGCUGGUGAAGUUAUGAGCCCUAUAGUUGCUUCUGUUCGGCCAUUGCAUCCUCCUAAGGUGUGGGAAGACAUCUCUCCCCAGUUCCUGGUGACUUUCUGGUCUCUAACAAUGUAUGAUCUGUUUGUUCCUAAUGAUUGUUAUCAGCGAGAAAUCAACAAGAUCAAACAACUCUCCCUUCAAGUAAUGGACUCCAAAGACAUGGCUGCCAGCAAGGGCAAGAAGGAACAAGAGAGAUAUACAGCACUCAUGGAGAAACUUCAGGAAGAAAAGAAGAAACAGCAUGAACAUGUUGAGAAAGUUAUGGCCAGGUUAAAACAGGAAAAGGAUUCUUGGUUCUUGUCACGAUCAGCCAAAUCAGCAAAGAAUGAGACCAUCACACAAUUCCUGCAACUCUGCCUAUUCCCAAGAUGUAUUUUCACAGCUACAGAUGCUGUGUACUGUGCUAAGUUUGUGCACACUAUUCACAGUCUUAAGACUGCCAACUUCUCCACUUUGCUGUGCUAUGACAGACUUUUCUGUGAUAUCACAUAUUCAGUAACAUCGUGCACUGAAAAUGAGGCUAAUCGCUAUGGUAGGUUUCUCUGUGCCAUGCUGGAGACUGUUAUGAGGUGGCAUUCUGAGAAAGCUACUUUUGAGAAGGAAUGUUCAAACUAUCCAGGGUUUGUAACCAAGUUUCGUGUAAGCAACCAGUUUUCGGAGGCAAAUGACCAUGUUGGAUAUGAAAACUACCGCCAUGUUUGUCAUAAGUGGCAUUACAAAAUCACCAAAGCUAUGGUUGUCUGCCUUGACUCUAAGGAUUAUGUCCAGAUUCGGAAUUCACUUAUCAUCCUCAUUAAGAUUCUUCCACACUUCCCAGUGCUUGCCAAACUGAGUCAGAUUAUUGAGCGAAAGAUUGAGAAGGUUCGUGAGGAGGAGAAAAAUCAGAGACAAGAUUUAUUUAUCCUUGCUACAAGUUACAGUGGUCAGCUAAAGGCAAAAUCAGCUUCCAUGAUCCGUGAAACUGAUUUCCAUCAAGUUGGUGAUAAGCCUUCAAAAUCUCAAGACUGUGGAUCAGUAAAACAGGAACUGAACAACCCAGCAGCAACUGUUGCCACAAAGCAAGUGAAUGGAGAAAUUAAGCAAGAGAAGGAUCGCUCAGUAGAGAAAACAAAGGAUGCAGGAGCCGUUCGAGAGAGUAAUAAGGAAAGAAGUGAGCGAAAAAGUGCUGGCCGUCAACAGCAGCAACAGACAACAAUUACAGGAGAGAUGUCUGGUGGCAAAUUGAGCAGUGCAUCCAAGUCCGGUAUCAUAAAUGCAACGAGUACAUCUGAAGGCAAACGUGAAGCCUUGUCAGGAUCAAUUAAAGAGAAAUCUGAAAAAGAAAAGAACAAAGAGAAAGAUUAUGAGCUGAAAGAAAAGUUGUCAAAGAAGGAAGAAAGGAGGGAGGAAGGAGAACGGGAGAAACGCUCCAAAGAGAAAAAAGAGGAUAAAGCUGCCCAAAGAGAGGAGAGGGCAUUACAAAGAGAAGAAAGGGCUUACCGAGAUGACCGUUACCUGGAGAUGCCAAACCCAAGCCUGAAGGAAGAACAGGUGUUGCAGCAGCGUUUUGGUGGCGGUGGAAGUGGUGAGAGGUACUAUGGUGGUAGCAGUAGUGGGGGUAUUGAGCGUAGUAGCCACUACUACCCACGUGAACCAACACAUGAUGACCGGGACAGAGACCUUAGCAGCCUCUCCAAUAGCAGUUCGGGUUCGGGCCACAGGCGCAGCCAAGAGCCGCCCGAGGUCGACAGAGAUGUGAAACGCAGAAAGCUGGAAGGCGGUUCGUCCACGAAGAGCUCCAAGCAUGAAGAACGCAAACAGCAGCAGUUACUGGAGGCCAUGUCCCUCGGCGGAGGCAGUAUGGAGAAGCCUGAGAAGAAGGAGAGGAGUUCCAAGACAAAAGAUAAAAGCAUGCGUGACAAAAAUGUGACAGAAGAAGAAAAGGAGCUGCGUAAAGAACGAAAGCUGGGAAGGAAAAGGGACCGUGCUGAGGAAGCUAUGCUUCUAGCUGAACAGAAACGCCGAAAGGAAGAGGAAAAAGUGCAUUACUAUUUCCACAGCUGCAAAGCUUGCAAGUCAUCAGAAUGGAGAACCCAGUGAGUCCCAUGGUCGUGAUAAGCACCAUUAUCCCAAGGACAAAUCUCCAUAUUCUCGUGAAAGAGAGAGGUCACAUGAUCGAGAGGGCCGUGAUAAACAUCGGCGAUCAAAUGAGGGCAAGCGCAGAUGAUGAUGGGCUGAGGAGGGGGAAAGGGAAAGUGGCAUAACUUUCAAGGCAGCCAGCAUCCCAGCCAGCACCCUCCACGAGUCGUUCUCCACUGGUUGAAGCAUAUGGACACACAAAGUCAUAGAAAUUUGUUUAGAAUAUUUUUUUUUGUUAGUACACAAGAGGGGUUUAAAUUGUGCGAUACAUGUGUAAACUGCAUUUUAAUUUUAUUAAUUCACUCAGUUCAUUUUCACCUCAGAUGUAAUUUAUUACUUUGUUUAAAAUUAGAAGAAAUGCUUGUAUUUUGGUUAAUGUUAUAGUUUGAAACUGUGAAGAAAAAUAUCUGUUUGUAAUUUCAUGGACUGGACAGAGUGGGAUUAUGUUGCAAAAACAGAUGCAGAUAAGAUGUGAAUGAACGCAUCAUAAGUAAUUCAGUAACAACAUAUGCCUGCUUGGAACAUUUAUGAUAGUAUUUUCAUUGUCAUAAAGAAAUUAUACUAUUUUACACAUAUGUGAAUGAGCUUUCAUCUUGUUUUUAAGUGUAAUUGUGACUGUAAAUACAUCCUCUUAUUAAUAAGGAAAAACAUUGCAAUUUGUGUAAUGAUUACUUGAAUAAUGGAAUAUAUACAAAGUCUCUUUGUAGCAUUUGUGAACAAAAAAUAGAUAACAUGCCAUUUGAAGAAAAGCAUA